AAAGUGACGGGUUUGCCCUCAUUUGAGGUUUUUUUGCGGUUCUGCCACUGAGCUAUAGUAGAUGCUUCCAUUAGUUCUUUCUUCUACGGCCAUCGGAUUCUUCUCUCUUCUGUUGGUUUCUCUCUUCCUCGCCAUCACUCAGUACGACAUCGAAGAAGUAUAGCAACACUGCAACCACACAUUUUCGCAGCAGGAGAUUAUUGCAGCGGCGUAGGUUUCAUCUUUGCCGACAAGUUUUUUGUCCGUAUCGGAAUUCGCAGUCAAUCCUUUCUCUCAGUUUUGGCUGGGUGGACGUAGAUACUGGGGGAAAGGGAUUGGAGCAAGACCACACUUGCUCUUAGGAGAUGCUUCUGUAUCAACGCCCAAUUUCCUUUUCUCAUCAGAGAGAUUUGAUCAAACAGCAAAGCUACUUAGUUUUGGGGGUGAAUUCAGAAGCUAUGUCGGUUUUGGGGGAGGAGAAGAUAUGCUGCCAAACAGUUAGAAUCAAGACAAAACGAAGGACCCUCAAUCAAUAUCAGCACUUCUGUUCGCCGACAUCAGAAACAUCCAUUAACAUCAAUACCUAUCACAGCCUGUAGAAGGGACUGUGGUGUUCUGAUUUAUGCUUUUGAUGGAUUUGGCGAGAGUGAGGAUCGCAGACUCCACCCCUGUAACUAUAUCUAAGAUGGUCCAACUCUCAUAUACGAAGCUUAUUAUAGGGUGGCUUAACUACUACUCGAUGUUGAGAAAUUUGAUUCAUCAAAGGCGUUCAAAAUCUCUACUUAUGUUUACUGGUGGAUACUGCAGGCGAGACCAAUCUUUUCAAUUUAAAUGGUCAACAACUUGGGUGUUUCAAGAGCACUGGUUGAAAAUUCCAGAACCUUACUACUGCCUGCACAUUUGCAUGAGAGGUUAGGGUUAAUCAAAAAUGCAAAAGUUAGAUUCGAAGACAAACGAAUAACUCCAUCUAUUGAUAGGAUUGCAGAAAGCCUGAAUAUGUCCAAAAAGAAAGUUAGGAAGUUACUCAGUUUGCCUUUUGGUUACUCUUAUAAUUUACAGAACAAAUCACAGCGUCAAGCACAAACCACACUUGCAUCAUGAUAAAUCCACGCAUUCCACAGGCGCAAUAAUAUAAAACUGAGUAUCAAGUGCUCAACAAACCAAGAUAGGCCAACACCUUAUGAAAUGAAUAUCUAAAAGCAUCAAAAGAGCGUUCUACCUGCAACCAGUUUUUAUAAAAUCCUUCAAUGUGGACCCUCUUUUGAGUCUCUUUAGCUGGAGACCCAAACACAAGACACAGCAAAAGAAUAGUUUAUCCCUUCCUUGGGUCAAAAAAUGGGAUAGUGCCUUGGUUGUAGAUGAGCAGACCAGUGCAAUCAGAAAAACUUUUGGAAAGUUUGAUGAUGUGCUUGAAUCUGGUUGUCAUUGUUUGCCUUGCUGUUGAGGUAGGGCAAUAGCUGCUCAUGUCUUUCUACAACUGCAGCAAUUAGAUGUUUCACUGAUACACAGAUUUGGAAGCUUAAGAAAUUGUGCUCCAAGGGCCCGAACCAUAAUUUGCAUCAAUGUUCAAUCAAAUUGGUGGAACUUCAUAAUAAGAACAGGGCACAAAACCUGUAAUUUUCAAGCCAACAUCCAUCAAACAGUUCUCAUUAUUGUCUUUCAUCUAUUGCUUUAUUAAACGAUACAUACCAAGUUUGAUUUGAAGUUAUUGAUUCUGGUGGAGAAAUUCGUAUAGCAUGUUCAACAGAAACAUUCUGCUAUGCAAUGUUAUCCCAGUAACAUAUAACAUUAAUUCCCGCAGCAAAGCGCGGGCACUCUUCCUAGUA